rnacentral:rRNA from 1 species
AUUGACCGCUAGCGGGAUGCUCUACACAUGCAAGUCGAACGGAGUGGCGGACGGGUGAGUAAUAUAUCGGAACGUGCCCAGUAGCGGGGGAUAACUACUCGAAAGAGUGGCUAAUACCGCAUACUAUUGGAGCGGCUGAUAUCGGAUCAGCGAGUUGGUGGGGUAAAGGUUCACCAAGGCAACGAUCCGUAGCUGGGUUGAGAGGACGACCAUCCACACAGUGUCUGAUGCGCGGCCGAAUAGCCGACGGGAGGCAGCAGUGGGGAAUUUUGGUCAAUGGGGGAAACCCUGAUACGGCCAUCACGCAUGUAUGAUGAAGGCCUUCGGGUUGUAAAGUACUUUUGGCAGAGAAGCGGUAGCUGCAGAAUAAGCACCGGCUAACUACGUGCCAGCCGCCGCGGUAAUAC